rnacentral:lncRNA from 1 species
CUUCCUUUGAGUGAAGUCUGAGUUGAGCCAGCUACAGAGCCUCCAGCACCAGGCAGCCUGGCACCAAGAAUCCAAAGCUAAAAAUGGACCAUUCUAACUGUUUCCUCCCAGUGGUACCUGAACGGGGCAGGGGCGGGGGUGUCUCAGACACUCCUUUCCCUACCCUCAGGUUCUGUCACAGAAGCCCUCCUGCUAUCAACGCCAAGGAUUUUAAGGGACAUAUGAUUUGCAGGACACCAACCAUGUGGUGUCCUCAGCACCACUUCCCUCCAAAGCACGGAGCACUAGAGAGAGAGAAGGCAAGAAAGAAACUGUCUCCCAAGUCUCCACUCCCGAGACUCCACUCUGGACAACUACCAAGCACUUACUGGCUGUUGAGGCAUCUGGGACACAAUGACAGCCAGCAAGUGAACAGUUUUUCCACACACUGCCGCCAGCGUGUGCUGCCUCCCCUUUCGGGCCUGAAAACAGUGGGGUUGAAAAAGCAACAAGAAAUGGACUAAAACUUCCUAAAUUGUGAGCCAAAAAAAACCCUUUCUCUUUAUAAGCUGAUUAUCUCAGGUGUCUGUUACUAUAAUAAAAAUCUGAUUAACACACCCCUACACUCUUGGAUUUUAUCAUCUGCAACUGGAUUUUCUCUUAGAAAGGAUUUUGUAUUUUGGAUGUGUUUGCCUUUUUAUGUUCAAG